GCCUGGGUGGCUCAGUCAGUUGAGUGUCUGACUUCAGCUUAGGUCAUGAUCUUGCAUUCAUGGGUUCGAGCCCUGCCUCAGGCU
rnacentral:tRNA from 1 species